ACUCGAGUGGCGAACGUGUGAGUAACACGUGGGUGAUCUGCCCUGCACUUCGGGAUAAGCCUGGGAAACUGGGUCUAAUACCGGAUAGGAGCCAUUUUUAGUGUGAUGGUUGGAAAGUUUUUUCGGUGUAGGAUGAGCUCGCGGCCUAUCAGCUUGUUGGUGGGGUAAUGGCCUACCAAGGCGGCGACGGGUAGCCGGCCUGAGAGGGUGGACGGCCACAUUGGGACUGAGAUACGGCCCAG
rnacentral:rRNA from 1 species